ACAGGAAAUUGUGACACAGGUACAGGGGUCCAAUCAUUACUAUACAAUACCAUUGACAGCAGGUUUAACCAUUCAUUGAUACUUUUGGUGGGAGCCAAUCACAACAUUUAGAGUAUUGACCAAUCACAGGGUGGGCCCAGGACCCUCAUGUAGGGCACAACUAGUCUUAAGCAAUAGGUGAUUAUCUUAUAGCCUCCAUCUUUAGGCCCACCCUUAAAAAUGUUAAAGAUGUUAGCUGGCCUUUCCUGAUUGGGUGUUACAAGGGUGGUCCCUCCUUCCUUGGGCAACGUGUGCCCUUCUAUUGUCUAAUGAUUCUGAGGAGCCGACACCUAGGCCUCCAAGGUCAGAGGGGAAACUUUAAUCAGACCUGCGUCCUUACAGUCCCACUAUUAUUUCUAUUUUCUAAGUCAGGAAGCAGGCACAGAGAGGUAAAUAAAGCUCAAGUUGACAAGCUGAGAAUCUGUAGCUAGGUUGCAAGAUGAGUAGCAAGAGCGCCUGCUGGCGGGCCACCAGCCUCCCAUCCGUUUGGUGUCCGUACUCUGGGAGGGGAGUCUGGUGCGGUGGGUUUGCGCGCUGUUUCGGCGGCUGGCGGCGGGCUGAAGCGUGGAGCUGAGCUGGGGAGGAAGCAUCGAGAGGAAGCCGCUCCCGCCUUCCUAGAGAGGAGACCGCUGCCGGGGGUCGGCGCGGGCUGUUGACGUCACGGCAGCCUGGCGGGGUCCAGGCCGCUUGCGAGCGUCCAGAAGCCCUAGGGGCGCACGAGGUGUGGGCGGCGGUGCCGGGGCCCAGCACCCGGGGAGUUGAGUCGGCCGUUCAGGGCUGCGGCGAUCUAGUCGCGGCGCCACCGUCGGAGCCGGGGCCGGUCCCCUGCAGCGCGUGAAUCUUGGAGCAGGGGUCGGGCGCCGCGAGUGGGGGCCAGCUUGCCCCGAAAAGGGACAGGAGAAGGCUGUUCGAGAGCCCUGGUCUGGGAGUCGGGAGACCGGGGUUCCAUACUUGAGGGAGGAAUCGCAUCUGAGUGCAGGGAGUUCUAAAACCUUUCCUCCGAAGAGGGGUCCUGAACAUCUUCUAAAAGACAACCUCCGGGGCGCCUGGGUGGCUCAGUCAGUUAAGCCUCCGACUUCGGCUCAGAUUCCUGCCCUUCCUCAAGGGAAGUUUCCAGGAGACAAACCAGUGUCACUUGUGUUCCUAACAGCUUAUCCCUGGGUUUUCUGUAGUGGAGAGAAUGUGUCAACCAGCUGCACACUGAGCCCAUCAGUUUCUCAUUAUAUCAGCAAAGGACUUUCUGUUUUCUACAUCAUCUUGUGAAUUUGAUUAGUAAACAUCAGAUUCUGAAGCACUUCAGUAGUGUCAAACUAAGCAAGGGUCUAGUUUUAAAACCUCAAGAUCUUCCAGUUGGACGUAGGGGGAGAGCUACAGAUGCUGAAUGUUUUGGAGAGAGGUCCAAAGAGAUACGUAUCAAGGUGAGUGAAUGGGAAGGAUGGGGUGAUGGACCCAGCAAAAGUAACAGCCUGGAAUAUCACUGAAAUCUUAAAAGAGAAACUCUAAAUGUCAGUAGACAAUGAUGAGCUUGUACUUUCGUAGGCACCAUGAGCAAGAUACUGCUUAUAGGCAUCCUCAGGAAAUGGAAUUACUUUUCAUCUGUUUUUUUGAGGAGUAGAGACUAUAACAGUAGUAAUUUCCCCUAACAGUCUACCCAGGAUUAGUAUACUUACCCCUUUCACAUUCUAUUUAUCACUCUGGAUGAUCCUAAAUUACCUGGAUCAGUUCUUAGUAUUUGAGUGUUUCAGAAUCAAUCAUGAUAGGGAGUUUUAUAGAUUUCCCAAGACCUGUCACUACUUAACCUCUUCUCCCUUUUAUCUAGUCUUUCCCCCAGGUCAUUGUGAUCUAUCUCUAUUAUUGAGAAGAGGAUAAAAAUCAAGAUUCCGCAAUGCAGGUCCCUUGUUCUGCACAGAUCAUCUUCCUUCAUGAUUUCUUUUUUUCAGGCAAGAAGACCAAGCCUGAUGCAACAAACAGUGUUAAGUGACUUGCAGAAGAUGUGGAGGGUCAGGGAAGCUGGUCAGCAGGCGUUUGUAUUUGGAGAAGGUGAAGAUGCGUGCUGGACAAGGAGGAGGGGCUUCCCGCAGGCAUGCCUGAGGGCACAGUACGUGCGCGCUUACACACAGAACUUUCCCAGGACAGUGUUGCUGUAACCAGAAUCAUCUCUGAGAAAGUACCUUGUAAGUGUCAUGAAUUUGAGAGACAGUUUCCUGUAAACCUGAACCUACUGGACAGACAGUCCUUCACCGUGUUACAAGCAGCACAAGUG
rnacentral:lncRNA from 1 species